GCGGGAGUAACUCAGUUGGUAGAGUACCUGCUUCCCAAGCAGGCUGUCGCGGGUUCGAGUCCCGUCUCCCGCUCCA
rnacentral:tRNA from 2 species